rnacentral:rRNA from 1 species
UACAGAGGGUGCGAGCGUUAAUCGGAAUUACUGGGCGUAAAGCGCGCGUAGGCGGCUUUGCAAGCCGGAUGUGAAAUCCCCGGGCUUAACCUGGGAACUGCAUUCGGGACUGCAUUGCUAGAGUAUGGGAGAGGGAAGUGGAAUUUCAGGUGUAGCGGUGAAAUGCGUAGAUAUCAGAAGGAACAUCAGUGGCGAAAGCGGCCAUCUGGGACAACACUGACGCUGAAGCACGAAAGCGUGGGGAGCAAACAGG